UACGGAGGGGGUUAGCGUUGUUCGGAAUUACUGGGCGUAAAGCGCGCGUAGGCGGACCAUUAAGUCAGGGGUGAAAUCCCGGGGCUCAACCCCGGAACUGCCUUUGAUACUGGCGGUCUUGAGUUCGAGAGAGGUGAGUGGAAUUCCGAGUGUAGAGGUGAAAUUCGUAGAUAUUCGGAGGAACACCAGUGGCGAAGGCGGCUCACUGGCGCGAUACUGACGCUGAGGUGCGAAAGUGUGGGGAGCAAACAGG
rnacentral:rRNA from 1 species